rnacentral:rRNA from 14 species
UGGGGUCCUACCAGCCUGAAUGCAACUGAUCUACUAUAAUCUCAGAAGCUAAGGAGGGUCAGCCCUGGUCAGUACUUGGAUGGGAGGAACCCUGGAACUGUCUUAU